CAACAGAAAACAGGCCCAAGCCCAGCGAGCCACCGCCCAGCGAGCCACCGCCCGGCGGUUUAAGUGUGUCGCCCGGCGGUUUAAGUGUGCCGCCCGGCGGUUUCCCAUAAUCCACCAAACCGCCCGGCGACAAUCGCCACCGCCCGGCAGUUUCCCUCAGAACCGCCCAGCGUCAAUCGCCAUGCCUAGUCCUUGCCCUGGACCGCCCAGCGGUUUAAGUGUGUCGUCGGGCGGUGCGUCCACUCUUCAAAUCAUCAUUUUUCUGCUCUUUUCUUGAGUCAACGACCUGUAUCUUUAACUUCAUUCUUCACUUUCUCAAAAUAGCUAAAAAACAAUGCAAAACAAGCAUAAAAUCGCUAAAAACAGCUUUUGACUCUCUACAGACUCAUUUAUUGAGUUUUGCUUGAUUCUAGGCUCAUUCCAAGUAGUAAAGGGUAUAAUUCGGUCCAAAUUGACAUAUGAAAAUAAUUGUUUUUCAACCUUCAUCAACCACACGUAUUUCCAAAACAAUUCCAAAGCUCCAAAAUUCCCUAAGGUUAAGGUAGUCAUGGUUUUUCACUUAGGGCUAGUGUAUCAGCUUCAACACAAAGAAAUGGGGAAAGUAUAGCCUCAAAGGGACUAUCAAAGGAUCAAAACAGGGUAGGCUCAUUUGGCUAGAAGGGCUCAACAACAAAGCGCCUUUAUCACUUUCAAACAUGCGCAUGAAUCAAGAAUUAUCAACAAGAGUCAAGCCAAGGCAUAAGUGCAAGCAAUCAAGAGACAUAUCACACACAAGAAAGAACAUAAAGCGGCUCAAAUCUCACACUGGGUAUUCCUGUCACAAUCAAUCAACCUCUC
rnacentral:lncRNA from 1 species